CCCCUAGACGUUCUGGGCUGCACGCGCGCUACAAUAAUACGCACAGCGAGUAUCACCGAGCUCGAAAGGGCAAGGUAAACAAUAGAAAAGGUACUGUAAUGGUUAUAGAUCCUUGUAAUUAUUGAUCUUCAACGAGGAAUUCCUAGUAAGUAUGUGUCAUCAUCACGCACUGAUUACGUCCCUGCCCUUUGUACACACCGCCCGUCGCUCCUACCGAUUGGGUGAGCCGCUGAAACUCUCGGAUGUAGGCUAUUCAUAGCCCGCAGAAGAGAUUUGAAUCGUAGCGCUUAGAGGAAGGAGAAGUCGUAACA
rnacentral:rRNA from 1 species